AUUGAACGCUGGCGGCAGGCCUAACACAUGCAAGUCGAGCGGAUGAAGGGAGCUUGCUCCUGGAUUCAGCGGCGGACGGGUGAGUAAUGCCUAGGAAUCUGCCUGGUAGUGGGGGAUAACGUCCGGAAACGGGCGCUAAUACCGCAUACGUCCUGAGGGAGAAAGUGGGGGAUCUUCGGACCUCACGCUAUCAGAUGAGCCUAGGUCGGAUUAGCUAGUUGGUGGGGUAAAGGCCUACCAAGGCGACGAUCCGUAACUGGUCUGAGAGGAUGAUCAGUCACACUGGAACUGAAACACGGUCCAGACUCCUACGGGAGGCAGCAGUGGGGAAUAUUGGACAAUGGGCGAAAGCCUGAUCCAGCCAUGCCGCGUGUGUGAAGAAGGUCUUCGGAUUGUAAAGCACUUUAAGUUGGGAGGAAGGGCAGUAAGUUAAUACCUUGCUGUUUUGACGUCACCAACAGAAUAAGCACCGGCUAACUUCGUG
rnacentral:rRNA from 1 species